CGACGAGGACGUGGACUCACGCGUGGGUUGCUUUUAAAGCGACUUACGCGUGAGGCUAGGGUGAUGGUAGAGUUCCCACAGGACUGCAUUAGACCUGUUGGGAACAAUGCCAUGUUGUUUACGUCAGAGGUCGGUGUCUUAUGCCGAUCUCUGAUCCCCCCACCACUCCCCGUUGGGGGGACGUGACAGAUGAUGUGCGGCAGCUCAUACGUCAACGCCUUCAGGAUAAAUUUGACUUGGAUUUGAGUGUUUCGCACAUCUCUCAUGCUGUCGACGACAUGAUGAAGGAGCGGUUCAAGGAUUACCGCAGUAAGUUACACCAGCAAUACAAGCGGUGUAUGAGCCACGAGGAGGCCGUAUAGUCCGCACCACUGCACGUGACCGAUGAGGACUGGCGGAUACUCUGCGAUAGGUUUUCGUCUGAUUCUUUUCAGAAGAGGAGCAAAAUAAAUUCUGACAAUAGAGGAAAGUUAGAAGUGAACCACGUAGCUGGUUCAAAGUUAUUUGUAUGACUUCGUCACGACAUGCGAGAUUCCGUCACUGGCCAGGAGCCCGGACCAGUAGACUUCUACAAAGGGACUCACUGUCGGCAGGCGACAGGAUCUUGGGUACAUCCUAGAGCCAGCGAGAUUUGGGAGGAGAUGAACACCUUACGCAGUCAGCCCACUCCCGAUGGUACUUAGCGGAGUGAGCCAGAGAUCCUGAGUCAGG